AAUAAACACAACCAUAAGUUUUUAUUUCUAAAUUUAAUCGUUCGUCUUAUUUAAUAUUUUAUAAUUAGUAUUUUUAUUGUUAUUAGAUUAUAAAACAUGAAUAGUACUUUGUACGAAACUUGUGUUUUUUAGUUUUUUUAUAAGUAAUUUAAAUAAGACGGACGAUUAAGGUUGGACACGGAAACUUAUGGCUACACUUAUU
rfam:Oryza sativa (indica cultivar-group) chromosome 2, whole genome shotgun sequence.